rnacentral:tRNA from 1 species
UGCGGUAGCUCAGUCGGUAGAGCAAAGGACUGAAAAUCCUUGUGUCGCCGGUUCGAUCCCGGCCCACA